rnacentral:rRNA from 1 species
UACAGAGGGGGCAAGCGUUAUUCGGAAUUAUUGGGCGUAAAGGGCGCGUAGGCGGCUUUUCAAGUGACGGGUGAAAUCCCUCGGCUUAACCGAGGAACUGCCUGUCAGACUGGAAGGCUUGAGACCGGGAGAGGUGAGUGGAAUUCCCAGCGUAGCGGUGAAAUGCGUAGAUAUUGGGAGGAACACCAGUGGCGAAGGCGGCUCACUGGACCGGAACUGACGCUGAGGCGCGAAAGCGUGGGGAGCAAACAGG